GAUGAACGCUGGCGGCGUGCCUAAUACAUGCAAGUCGAGCGAACAGACGAGGAGCUUGCUUCUCUGACGUUAGCGGCGGACGGGUGAGUAACACGUGGAUAACCUACCUAUAAGACUGGGAUAACUUCGGGAAACCGGAGCUAAUACCGGAUAAUAUAUUGAACCGCAUGGUUCAAUAGUGAAAGACGGUUUUGCUGUCACUUAUAGAUGGAUCCGCGCUGCAUUAGCUAGUUGGUAAGGUAACGGCUUACCAAGGCAACGAUGCGUAGCCGACCUGAGAGGGUGAUCGGCCACACUGGAACUGAGACACGGUCCAGACUCCUACGGGAGGCAGCAGUAGGGAAUCUUCCGCAAUGGGCGAAAGCCUGACGGAGCAACGCCGCGUGAGUGAUGAAGGUCUUCGGAUCGUAAAACUCUGUUAUUAGGGAAGAACAAAUGUGUAAGUAACUAUGCACGUCUUGAUGGUACCUAAUCAGAAAGCCACGGCUAACUACGUG
rnacentral:rRNA from 1 species